GGAAGUGCUCCGGUUUGGCUUGGAAGGUGGCAGCAGGUAAGUGGGUGUUCGUGUCUGUGUGUGUGUGUGUGGCGUGUAGUUGUUGAGAGUGCACCCUCCUACAGCGGGGAGAAAAGAGUCCGGGUACCAAAGUAAAACGGUUGGUUGGAGUGCAGAACCGCGGCACACAGGUGCGGGCCUGCAGGGAAACAAUUAAACAGUUUAACGGAGCUUGGCUCCCCGGGGAACGAGUGCGCUCCGUGCGCACUCCCGAAACUGGCACACUCAGGCCGCGAGGACAGACGCGCGCCAUUCGGGGAGUGACGGGGCGUUUAAUGGCGCUCCGUCAUAAAAUGAUUUGAGUAAUCCGACCCAGUUCUUUCCGUUAAACCCUAUAAUGAACACAAAAUGUUGAUGUUUCCAGACUAAGGAUAAGGAUUUGUUUGUUUGUUUUUAGCAUGGUUUUACUGACAAAAGCUGUUAGCCAAGAAUUGUGUUCAUUAUUUGAGGAAAACCAAACUGUGACCUGUAAACAACUGUGUAAUAACAGGGUUUUAGCAGAUCUAUCAAAAUUUAGCUUUAAAUGUUCACUUUCUUAAUGAAAAUAAACCUACGAUACAACACACUGUUGCUCAUCAGUCUUGUAACAGUGAAAUAUUUCUCUGAAAGUAAAAGUUUAAACAACAUUGAACAAUCAAAGUCUUAAACACAAACACCAUCAUUGUCAGUUUUUUGAAUACUUGAGUAAUUUCAUUGGAAAGCUGUUAAAGUCAUGUCUGCUCAGUCUACUCAAGAUGAGACGACCCUGUUUUCAGGAAAAGAUCAGAGUAAGUGAGAAAAUUCAUGGUACUGUAGGUUUUUCAAAUCAACAAGUCUUGUCUGCAUUGCUGUCUUGUACUGUAACACAAAGACAUCUGAUAAACUGAUGUAAUAUUGCAUGUUAACCUUUUAAAGUAUUGAUUUUUAUAAUCCCUUUAUUAUAAGAAAUGAUUUAAGAUUGCAGCAGGCGGUCAGUAAAUGUUGCCUUUUUUUAUUUAGAGUCAACAAUCAAAGGGCGGAUCUUAGUAGAAGGAAAAAUAGGGAGGAUACUGAUGUUGGCUUACCCAGAAAGAGGACUAGGGGUAGAGACGAUGCGGCCAACUCUGAUUCAACAACAACCUAGAGAGAGUCAGUGAGAGGAAUGCAGCAUCUCUACCAUCUCAACUGAACUCUGUCAUCAGAGAGUUUCAGGAUGCCUGCCUCUAAAAGAAAGGCUAGUGAAGAUGGUGAUGUUGAUGCCCCUGUAAAAAAGAUAAGGUGCAGCCACAGUACCAGUGAGUCCAGCACCAGCAAGUCCAGUGCUGAAGCAUCCUCAAUCACACUGAAGGGUGAUAAUGUCGGAUCUGACUCUGGCAAGGACUUUGGCACUGUCUCAGCUGAGGAGGAGAGGCUUUAUGAGCUGUCCUCUCCAGGAAACACCAGCAGAGGUAAGCUGAGAUAAACUGUGACUAUUACAUAAUGAACCAAUGAACUGUUUAAGGAGCAGUAUUAUUGUUGCAUAAUCCAAACUCAAGGACUAACGCCUUUAUGCUUUUUUUUUUUUAGCUGAUUUUGAGGAGAAGUAUUUGGAGUUUGGUCCCUUUGGCACUGGAGGCUUUGGUUCUGUGUUUAGUGGCCUCCGUCUGUCGGAUAAUUUAUCAGUAAAUCUGACAAACACAGGCUAAAAUUACAUUUAUCUAGUCUCUAACCCUCAGAAAUUACAAACUAAAUCACUUGUCUUUUUGUGGUGCAGGUUGCCAUCAAACCCAUUCCAGUGAAGGAUGUGCAGUUUGAACAUGUGGUGAGUGAUUUGAUCAGCUGUUUAGUAAAAACAAAACAAACAAAAAACCUCCCAAUUAUGUGACUUUUAUCUCCACUCAGUCAGAGACAUGAUGCUCAUUUUACAACUGCCUAAAAGUGGACUGUUUCUUUAACUUGCACUUUUCACAUGCAUCUGAACUGAUUGCAAGUCAUCAUAUGUGUUGUGUUUUGUUUAUCUUAUGACUAGAUAUGCAACUGGAAAGUGUUCGAUAUUAUCCUUGAGGUGGCCUUGAGGCUAAGGAGCACAGGUCUGCCAGGAGAGGUCGAUGGAUGAACUUUUACUUGUCAUGGAGAAUCCCUACCUCUGCAAGGACCUUGGAAAGUGUUUCCAAGCCAAGAGAGGAGCUCUUGAUGAACGUGAGUUAAAGGUACGACAACACCUGAAAGUCUAACUGUCUAAGACGGUUAGCUGAUAUCUUCAAUCAAACCACAGCUACUUGGAAGGUGGUGCUGUUAGCUAGCUGGAAAUAAAGGACAGAAUCAAAUGUCAUAAAUGAGGCGCUAAUAAGACAGUCUGGCUAUCUGAGCAUGGUUGAAAUAGCUUUUUAAGUUGGCUAGCUUGCUAAUGCCAGUUGCCAGGAUAGCUGGCAUGUUAAGUAUUACUCAAUGUAAUAGUUGUCUUUAAAACAUCAUCUCUGGGAAAAUUUUAGAUUGAAUUAGUUUGUAUUAUAAACACAUAAGAACAUACUCUGAGCAUUCUCUGAACUCUGUGUCCCUUAAAAAUCUGAUGGUGCGUUUUGAGGGUUUAUCAACAUACAAACUGGCUGUUGUUUAAAUUUGUCCCAUUAAGGGAAUUCAGGUUUUGUAGGUAUUAAAUUGGAACCAUUUUUUUUCUGCAAAAUGUUUAAAACAAAUCUGCUUAACAUAAAAAUCUGUGUUUAGAGGUCCAAAUCUUUGACUUUUCUUAUUUCUGCUGGUGGACACGGCCAUUGACAUACACUCAAAGGGUGUCUUUCACCAGGAGAUUAAACUGCAAAAUGUCCUGGUGCAGUUUGACUCCAGAGAACCAAGAGUAAGAAUCAUUGAUUUCGGCUGUAGCAGCUUCUCUGAGGAGAAAUCGUAUUUUUCCUGCAGUGGUGUGAUAUCCAACCUCUGCUUUUUUUUCUCUUGAGUCAAUAUCUGAAACAUAUUUAAAGAUGAAUGACCCUACAGCUGCCCAAAAAAGAGAUGCCAAAACAUUUGGAGUUUCAUUCAUACAUAUGGGUCAUACUGUGAAAUCAAAAGAGUGGUUUGACUACAAGGCAUACUGGGCCUGUCUUGCCAACCAUGGUAUUCAUUACAUCCAUUAUUUCCUCUGAAUCUUGUUGAUGCACUUUUAGUAUAUCUGCUGAUUCAUUACAUCCAUUAUUUCCUCUGAAUCUUGUUGAUGCACUUUUUAUAUCUGCUGAGACAAAGUGGAGCCCGUUUCAUUGAUAUUACACUUCACACCAGUCGAGUACAUCAGCAGUAAUUUGAAAGCUGAGCACCUUUGGUUCCUGAUGGGGAUCUCUCUGUUAAAUGUCUCUUUCUGAGGUUUCUACCUGAUUUGGGGACUUUUACCUCUUCUUUUCAGAGAGCUUUAGACUGGUUUAAGAACCAGAAAGCACAACUGUGUCUGCUUUUAGACACCAGAAAUAAAUGUUCUGUCCUUUGACUUGCUGCUUUCAGUUUGAGAGGUUUUUUCAGAGCAAUAGGUACUGUGUCUGUUUGACACGCUGAAAUCUUUUACUGCAUUGACUCCAGUAAAACAUUGUCAAAAAUAAAAGAUGACCUAACUGAUAAAAAGAGGAAUGUGAUAGUAUUUGUAUAGUGGUUCUUUGUGAGGAAAUCUGUACAAAUGACUUCUUGCUACCAAGAUUUUAACAUCUUUACCAAAAAGAUGUUAAAAUCUAGAUUAUUAUUGACAUAUCAGAGUCAAGUUUGGUCUCAUAAUACAGAUAAUCCUGAUCAAAAAUGACUCCAACAGAAGAGACAGUCAGUGCGUUUACAUGCAGAGUUUAAUCGGAUUAAGCUCAUGUUCGUUUUUUCGCUGAGAAAAUUGCCGUGAAUGUGUCCUCCUCCCCAAAACAAGGAGGUGAUAUGGAUCCUUUCAGCGGCUCUGUUUCCGGUUGACCCAACAACAACAGCAGCAGGUCCGUGCCAGACGUCACAAGUGUCUACAACUGCUGCUGGGCAUUUUUGAGCAAAAAGAUGGAGCAUCGUACAGCGUUGUUUUGUCGUACAUGAUGCAUACACUACUUUUUCUGCAGAUGAGGUGCAUGCUACUCCUUUUCUCUGGUGUUUUUGUUGUGGGGUCAUCGCACGCGCACAUGCAUUGUUCUAUCAUACUCCAACUACGCUGGUUACAUGGUAGAGAAAAUCAAAUCCCAAUCACAUUGUUUGGGUGUCUUAAUCGGAGUUCUCCGACUCAGAUAAUAGUCGAACUAAGGUGUUUACAUGCACUUCAGUUGUCCGGUCUUAAUCGAAGUAAGGCAAUAAUUCGGUUUUCUCGAGUGUCAUGUAAACGUGCUGAGUGGCUCUGUCAAAUCACUUUUAAAAGUACUAAACUAGUAAAAAACAGUUUAGAAAAUAAAAUCCCAGAUUGUGUUUUCACGAGUUCAGCCAAAAAUAAAGUACAUGGGUGUACACAUCUUUUGCUGUGUGAUGUUUAUUUAGGAAACAUUAUUCAUACUCUUUAAUAUCACAGGCUACCAAUCCUUAUAUUUUUCCACUUCCAAAAAAAUACAUUUAACAUUUAUGACAACCAGCUAUGAAAUAGAAGCAGCAACUUAGACAACUUGGUACUCAUCUGAAAUUCGCUACAAACAUUGGCGAUGGUCAUGACAAAGUUUGUUUAAAACAUUACAAAUCAUUCUUCAGUUUUUGCCAAUCCUUUUGUAAAAUCUUGGCUGCCACAGUUGAGUAAAAUGAAAUACAAGACAGAAAUUUUCAAAAAUAGUCUAUGUGCGAGGCUUUUUAAAUGAUGGAAAAGAAUAAAGUGUAAAACAGAGUCUGACACCAAAGCAGGUCAGCACUCAUAACCUCAUAACUGCAGCUGUUUUUUGUACUUUUACUUGAACAGUUGAAGGUGUUAUGUGUAGCUGUUAAUGAUGAAUAAUCUCUUUUUGGAGGUGAAAAGGAGAGACAGUCAAGUGGAUCAGCUCUAUGAAUCAUUUGACAUGCAGUUACAGUGAAGAGGGUUGAGGGAUUAAUGGCAGGACCAUUAGGAGGUUUAUCAGAACAAAAACUCUCGACCUCUGCAGCUGAUAGACAUUAAUGAAGUGAAUAAUUUCAAUGGGAUGACUCAUACAGAUUGAAGACUUUAUUUCUGACUUUAACACUUUUGUUCAAGCUCCUCACGCAUUUUAAACUUGUACCUGAGAAAUUUAAGUUGUAGAUUCAUGCUUCAUUAUGUACAUAGAAAACACAGUCAGUCCGUCUUUGUCAGUCUGGUGUAUGAAAAGCGGUUAGUAGUGCUGGCAGGGAGAGAAGAGCAGUUCCAGGAGAUGGUUUAUUGUGUAGCUCUUCUGCACACACACCUGGACCAAACAGUCCAGGAUACUCCUUUUCCUUUUUUUCUGAAUUUAAUCUGUUCUUAUCGAUGUGGCUGGACUCACUGCAGACCUGCAAGGUGACAGGCCCUUAGAGUAAAACUCUGUCCAGAUGGUCCAUCUCACAGUGUGAAAAAUGAAAGCAGAGAUAUGAUUGUUAAACUGGAGUGCAUGGGGAGGGAAACACUCCGAAUCAGACAUAAUAAUACUGAUUGCGAGUGAAAUGUGGAGUCAAUCAGAUAGCUGAAAACAAACUCUAUGCAUCCUGAUUUUAUCAGCAAAACCUGCAUUCAAUAUUCCUCUAUCCCCAAACCAAACAUAACAUUACCGGCGCUAUAUCUCAUUGUUUAUUCGAGUGACAAAUCAAUUUGUGUAUUGUGGAUUCACCAGCUUGAAAUAAAAAGAGGUUUCCAGACCCCCAAAUCAAAUUCAGCUUAAGGCCCCCAUUCGGCUUUGGGCUGCAUUGUUAUCCUCCUCAUUUAUCAAUACAGACACACGUGUGGUAAGAGCUCACCAAAGUACAUGUCCGCACUGAUUUAUAAGCAUCAACACUGCCACCAACAGGUCUGAAAAUAGAAACACUUCUUCUUUUCUGGUUCAAAGUACCUCAGACCUUCAAACCUGCAAAGACUCGCAUAUCAGGGGCUCUCGGGGGGCUGCAUUGUUUUGUGUAAUCCAAGCAAAUAAAGGGCAAAAUGAGGAGAAAAUGAAUAUGUAUUAUCUUGAUAUGUUCACUGAGCGCAGCAGCAGGAAACAGCUGAGAGCAAAAUAAAAGUUGGAUGAGAAAGAAGGAAAUUAGAGACAGAGUGAAGGAUGGGAAUGGCUGCAGAAAUUAGAUAUUAUAAACUGCAAUGUUAUAAACUAAAAGGAAGAUUACAGUGGUAUAUAAUCACUCUGAAGCCCGAGGGAGAAAAGACUGCAUACAGUAGGAACUAUUGCAAACAUCUGAUCAAACUGCAUCAUGGAUGCUGGUGCAUCUCUACUCUCUCUCUCUUUUUCUCUUUCAGCAUGAAGAGUUUGGUGGAAUGAUCUCAAAGAUCAUCAAAAUUUGAAGAUGUUGUUGUCUGGACUUUUCUAAAACUUUUCUUCCUGAUGAAACCAUCUGAAGUGUAAUCAAGACAUUUUAAAAAGCCAGCACAGGGUGAUUUUCUCUGAAGAGAACACCUCUUAUUACUCACAAGGUUAAGAAUAAAUGCCAAUCAGAUCAUAAAACAGCUCUCGACCAAAAUAAAAAAAAGAGUCCCAGCCAAAUAAAAAGGGCAACAGAGAUGAAAUUAAAAAAGAGAUACUAGGUGCUCUAUGGCACUAAAGACAAUAUAAAUUUCAGGCUGUUAUAAUCACUGAAAAUUUCUGCUGCUUUUGAAUGGACUAUCCAGACUUGUUGCUGGGAGAAGAACAAAAUCAUCUCCCAGUGAUAUAAUUUCUUCACAAGACCCAAAACUCAUAAUAUUUUGAAUUGUUCGCAAUUUCCUCUCUAAUGAAAUUCAUCCACAUGAGUGCUGAUAUACAAAGGAGAAUCAAUUCUUUGUUAUGUUGCUCUGGUACAGCGGUCCCUAUGGGGUUUCCCUCCUGAUGUGCCAUUACAGUUUCCAUUAGACUUUUCAAUGAGGGGAUAUUAAAGUUACUCAACUCUAAAUGUGUUUUAAUUUUCAGCUUCCUGCUCAACCCAAAUACCUCAUACUGCAGCUUGUUACUUUAAUCUGAAGGGUCUGCUGGAUAAUUGUGCGGGUGGUUUGGAGUAGACCGAGGGACUGUUGGAUAUAUUGCAUUCAGCGCUGGUUAGAGCCAAAAAAGCAUGUGAUUACUCUGACAGAUUCUCAUUUUGUCUGCAGGUUAGAAUAAAUCACGGGCUGUUCCCCUUUGUACCCGAUGUGUUUGUGAACCUCAUUGUGUCCUAGGAGAGAAUCCCUGAGGGUGGCUCUGCCAAGGCUGGAUUACCAAUCAGACAAUGUGGGCAACUGCUUCAGGGCCUCUGGGUUCGCUGUAUCAUUUGGUUGGUGGUUAUUUGACGAAUUUCAAUUCUGUUUGGAGACGUGGACUACAAAAUAAAACUUAUUAAACCCCGACUUAAAGGGUUGCAUCACUGUCUUCUUGCAAGUUUUAGCCUUUUUGCAGAAGCUCAGUGGAUCCAUGUCUACUUUGAAGAUCUGUGCUAGUUUUGUUUUUACCUGAUAAAACAUUUCUGAGAGAAAGGCCUGUAUUUCUGCAAGAUAAGAGCAUUGUUUUGUUUCUGGGGAUUGGAAAGAAUAUAAUGAAACUGCCACUUGAAGUCUUCUGUGUGAGCUGGGUUUAAUGAAAACAGUGUGUAUACACAAAGCACAAGGGGCAGGAAGCAUCUGGGUCAAUAACAGGCAGAGGAAAGACAUACAUUGUUUCAUGAUAUACAGCCUUGGUCUCUCGGUUAACGUGUUCUCUAUGUAGGCUACGACUACUUAAAGCAGCAGGCAAGUCAAGAAUUGAUUCAUAAUCUCUUCAGGUUUGUCAUCAAAGUGCAAAGACGAUCCUGAUGUUGUCCUCAGUCCUCAUCUGGAUUCUGUUGGCGGUAGACUUGUUCUCUCCGAUCAGGCUUAAGCAGGAGCACAAUCCUUAGAUCCUUCUGGUACCACUAAACAAGUACUACAUACGUGUACAUUAAACUGUGAAGGAAGAUAUUUAUAGGUGUCUUCCCUCCAUUCCCACUGUAUUAGAUUCCCUAGUUGCUUUUUAAUUGAACGUGUACAUUGAUCACAGACAAAGCAGUCUUGGCUCUGAUGUUCUGCAUCAUUUAUCAAGCAUAUUCUGGCCCACACCACAAGACCAGAAAAAUUGGCCAUCACCACCAUAGAGCAGCUGUAAAAGAGAUGUUAUUCUGUCUCACAGAAAAUGGGAGGCAAAGUGCGGUUAGAUCCACUUUUAUUAUUUUUAUUAGUAGUAGUAUUAUUCUCCCACACUCCAGUGUGUCCCAGCUUCAAGCAGUUUGUUAUAGCAAGUCCAUAUUCUGUAUCGCACUGUCUAGACAUAUAAUGUUUCAACCAAAAAUACUCUGCCGUUGUCCAGUUUGACUUUAAAGCUUGCUGCCAUCUCCUGUAAUUGGAGAACAACCGUCCGUCUCUGCAUAUUUAGUUUGAAAGACUGGGCAUGUGCAGAAAGAGCACAGCCUUACGACGAUCAGAAACUCUAUUUACCCCGAGCGUUUUUUAUUUUGAUCAGUUUAUGAAAAGGUUAAACUACCUUUCAUUUAGUUUGGGCCUGUUUAUUCCAAAUGAGCUGUUUAUAUUGAGCAUUUUUAUUCCAUUCAGGCUUUAAAGCUGUUCAGAACUGUAUUUACUAUGGACAACUUGGUUUUGCCUUCCGCCAGUAUACAGAUUUAAAGCGGAUAAACUCUCAGUAAUUCCGUGUUGUUUCUCCACUUCCUGAAACCAACAUUGUACAGUAGCGUUGUAGGCGUUCGGCAGGAGAGUCGCAGAGACUCGCUGUGAUGACGCUCGGUUCAAACAACGUAUCCCCCAGGUGAGCUACGCAAUCUUUGUACGCCCAUAGGCUGUAUCAGGUGUCGUAGAAAUCAUAGAAAACAUGAACUCCUAAUAACUUUUAAAAACGGAGCUGCACAGAAAAUAGAGGACUUGAGCACAAACCAGUCUUACAGUAACUACAUGUCAACAUCCCAAACCAGGGGGAGAAAAAUGUAUAUUCUGUGUAAUUAAUUUUCAAAGUUUGUCCACAACUCCAUAGGGAUUGCUGGAGGAGGUGGGAUUAAUGGCCUAUACUGCAGCCACUAGAGGGUGCUGUUCUCGGGUGGCUUCACCCAGUGAGGAGGCAGAUGAUGUCCAUUCUAUAUACAGUCGAUGUUUCAUAAUCAGAAUAUCAUACUUCAUGUCAGGGAAGCUGUUGUCUUUGCAAUGGUCCUCAUGUUCAAAGAGACUCCAGUAUCACCCAUCAGAGUACAGUUGGACCUCAGAAAGGACAUCCAUAGGACCUGUUUAUCACCUGGCUAUGUUAGAUACUCGAUCCAGUCAUUGUUCCUUGGCCUCACUAUUCAGCUAUAGGGAUGCAAAUGACCUUUUGAUCAUAUAUGGAAUCAAAUUAAGCAAAAAUUCUUCUCUGCAUGUUGACACUGCCGAAAAACAAUAGACGAAAUUCAAUUAUUUCAGUCUUGUCUCCCAACAUGUGCAGUACACAGAGGGCGGCUGGUGAUAGUAUUUCUUUAUUUGUUACAUGACAACAAAAACUGAGCUUAAAGAACAGCUUAAAGAUUGUUUUUACUGUGUCGAGUCAAGUUUUUGUCCUGGACCCUGUUUUUUAAUUAUUUGUCAAGCUAAAUGCUCUUUAUCUGAUGAGUUCCCAGUGAGGUAAUAUGCCGGCAGCUCUAAAGGUGAAAAUAAAGUUUGUUGAAAUUUUGCUUUUGAACAUUUCGGGAAGUGAGUUUACUGAAAGACAGACAACCUGAUAAAAAAGAGCUUUGAACCUGCAAAAUUAAACUUCAAACAUUUUCUCCCAGUCUAAGAAAAGCAAUAAAGGGAUAGGAGAGGACUUUUGAUGAGGCAUUUCUGAAUGGCUUCCUCUUAUACGCCGUCUUUAAACUUUGUGAUAACCCUUCAUUUUAAAACCAGGCAUCUAUCCGCUUCCCUCAACACACACUGACACACAGUCUUACUGAGCAAAGUUUUAUAUUCCAGGCAGAGAUCUGGAAAUCAAAUGAGGCUCUGGACAAUCAAAACCUGAUAAGAAUCUGGUUGGAGGUAAACGUGGUUUCAAUCAGUGUCACCAAACAACUACAAUUACAAUGAUUGUAACUAAAUGAAUUUCUGCUCUUCUACAACAAAAGCUGUCUGUGUCAAAGUGCCAUCUAGUGUUCAAACAAGAGUCAGAGGACCUUUGCUUAUCUCUCUUGUUUCACUGUGAGCUUCAGUGUUUCCUGUAAAGAUGUUUAUUCUGGACAGAGACAGACAUACCUAUUUCAGGGUCACUGAUUGUAUCAGCUCUGACUCGCACCUUUGCAUCUCCCCCUCCUGUCUGUGUCUGCUUCCUCCUUCUGUUUUCAGGAGUCGAUCAGGUUCACCUGCUCCGUCUUUGCUGUGUUAGAGUCACUUAUCUGCGCCUCACUUUUAUAACACAAAAAGAGCUUUUAGCUGGAGCGCAAGCCUCAAUCAUUUACAUCCUCAGAAAAGCAGUAUCAGCUCGAAAGAGGAUGCGGUAAAGCCAUCGUGGAUACGCAGCGAAUGAUUAAGCUAUUAAAAAUGAUUCCUUUUGAUUGAUUGGAUUAUCCUCAGUUCUUUUUUGGAGGCUAUAAGCUGUUCGACAGGAGGUGCAUGUUUCAUGGUUGACACAAAAGUGCCUUUUUAAUGAGAUUUUCAGGUCAGAACAGCCUCAGAGGUUUUAUUCCUCGCUCUGUUGAAAUCAUCACCAAGCAUGUUCACAGCACAGAGAGAACAUGUGAAGGUAAGCAUGAAGGCUCACAUCCUCCAUUCUAGAGCAGGGCGAUAAACCGAAAAUUUACAGAUACCGAAAUUUACAACCAUAACCGACAUCAUUUUGCCCAUAUCGGUAUAUUCUAUUUAUGUUGUGUCAAAUACAUAAAUAAAUCAAAGUUGGUUUUGGACAUGUGUAGGUAGGUUAUAGUCUCAUGUCCCUAUGUAAGACGCUGUCCUACGUAGGAGACGUGACUCCACCCGAGCUGAAUUAGAUAAAGUUAAUGUGGGAGGGGGUGAGCAGCUUGUGGAGUAGUUAUCGUCCAUUUAUCGUUGUCAAGGUGAACUGCUCAAUAUAUCAAUAUAUCGUGAUAUUGAUUUGAGGCCAUAUCUCCCAGCCGUACAUCGUCAAGGAAAUGCCAAUUAGGCAUAAAAUUGUGUAUCCAUUAAACGACCCACAGUUUUUUAUUUAGACACGACUCUAAUGAUUGAUUGCAAACACAAUUUACCUCUUUGUAUAUAGAAUAUAAGCCUCGCCAGUCUUUCCAUUGUGCAACAAAAUCAGCAACAACAACAACUUCUUCUCUGUGAAGUUUAAAAAAUAUACUCCUUUUUUUUUUAAAUAAUAAAUUUAUUUUGGCUAGUGCCUUCUGAGCAAACAAUAGUUUCCACAGCUUUCUCCAGCUUUGGCACACAGCUCAGUCAAGGAUAGGUCACAUCUCUCUAUUUCACUAUUUGCAAUCCUCCUCUGGGUUGGUUUUGGCAGCUAUCUAUCAGCAGGGAUUUUAUUUUUUCAAAUUGCUUUGCUGCAUUUAGAUGAAAAUUUCCCCUAAAGUAAUAUUUUUAUUUCCAUGAAAAAACUGAUGAGAUCUGUUCAUGGCAAAACCCAGACAGACAAAAGAACUAUUCCUGGAGAGUGUCCCUUUCCUGUCCCUUUGAGACAAAGUUGAAACUGCCAGGGAAAUAAUUUUCUUUUGUCCCGAGUGAAUGCGCAACACAACACUGUGAGACGCAAUCAUAAGCUAUUUACAGAGCCGGAGCAGUGUCGGCACAUUAUUAGGUGACGUAAGACAGUGGUGACUUGGUUUGAUGAAAGCCCAUUUUCAAAAGAGAGGCUUUCAGUGGGAAUGAGUGAGACUUAAUAGAGUGUCAUUAAAAUUAAAGCAUUUAUAAAUCACAGAUGGUAACAGGAAAUAGCACUCUUUAGUGUUAUGGUGCCAUUAUGAGAGCUGAUCCACUCAACAACGACAAAUAGAUGCAUUUAUUCAGCUUUUGCAUAUUUACACAUUGGUACGAAAAGCACCAGGAGAAACUUUUGGUUUGUUGCUGUUGGAGUUUGACGGUGUUACCGAAAGGCCAAAGAGAGGGAGGGAGAGAAAAGAAAAGUAUCAGAAUUCAUUUUAAUUGCUGUCUCGACAGGCCAGUGUCUGACAGGCAGGUAAACACCCAGACUAUUAAUUCAUCCUCUAGUGCCGCUUUGGAGGUUUAAGACAACAUCACAUUUUGUUGAAGUGUGUUUGUUUACACAGAAGCACCAGGUAUAAUCGACCGUAAAGACACUUGAUUUGGCACCAAAGAUGGGGAAUUGAGAGAUGAAGCUUUCACACCUUAUUUAUUUAUUUUAACAUGGCAUUUAGUUAAAGCUGGAUCCUUUUUCUUUCUUUCUUUUUUUUUGGCCUUUUCAUCUGGCAGCCUCUGAUCCAGAUCAGUCAACAAAGCUGCCAUGGACCAACUCGACUUAAUCUACUACUCUUACUUUUAUCAAUUCAGUCAGACAACCUCACAUUUUGCUGUUUAUGGCAGCAGCAGAACAUCGUCUGUAUAUUUGUACUCUGCGUCUUGGGUCCAACUUCGCAGCUCCUUACAGUUUUACUUUAACAUACAGAAACUGAGGAAUGAUGAGGCAAUAUCUCAAAUCCCCUGUAGGAGCCUGCAGGUGGAUGCUAGGCUGAAAAGAGUAGCAUUCAAACAUAGCAGCUGUGGCAAUAGAAAAGUCAAGGCAGAGACCGGAAAUCUUGCACAUUAAAUAAAGCGCCAAACUGGGAGAGCAUGUGAUAUCAUGUGAUUGUGAGAACGAUGGAUGCCAAGUAUGAAAUGAGCAGCUCAAGUUGCCAGGCCCUAGCAACUCUCUCGCAGGCAUGCUGUUGUGGGUGCCUGUUCAUUAGCCCGUCUGACUGCCUGUUUGUUUGUUCAGUUGUGUCGCCAAUGAAGUUAAACAAAAGAACAACUUCUUUAUGACCUCCAAUUUCAUUGAAGUUGGGACGUUGUGUACAAUGUGAUUAAAACAGAAAACAAUGAUUUGCAAAUCCUUUUUUCACCUGUAUUCAAUUGAACACACUGCAAAGACAAGAUAUUUAACGUUCAAACUGAUAAACUGCCCAGACCAUUACAGAUGCUGGCUUUGAACUUUGACCUGGGGACAGCCUGGAUGGUCCUUUUCCUUUUUAGCCUGGAGGACACCACGUCCAUGAUUUCCAAAAACAAUUGAAAUGUGGUCUCCUCAGACCACAGCUCACUUUUCCACUUUGCUUCAGUCCAUCUGAGCUCUGGUCCCCAGAGGCCGGCAAGAAGAUCUAAAGUCCAAAUCUCCUCCUGCUCUUCAGUCUCCAGUUAGUUUCUCCUACUUUGGACAUGGCUUCAAAGUCAUCUUUAGCAUUUUAAAAGUGAGGGAAAACAUUGUGGUGGCAUUUCCAGUGGUAAGAAGACUUGUCAGAUGACCUUAAAACUCUAGAUUUAGAGUCUCAGUAAUGGACAUCAACUGGUGUAAAAACCCCCAAAGCCAGGCCUUUGCUGUGUGAGUAUAGACAUACAUAACAAAGUCAGUCUAUCAGCAAAAGUCCCUGUUUGUUCAGAGCCAAUUCAUCAAAAAAAAGACACUUUACAAACACUUGACAGGUCUAGACUGUACUCUGUUAUAUUACUGUAUUACAAAUUCUCGAUAUUAAGAUAAUCAUCUCCUUCAGAUGAUUUAAGGCACUCUGAGGGUCAUUAGAGUCUAAAACACAGUUUCAUGUGCUCAUUGAUGAUUAAAGACCUCAAUUUCUUAAUCAAAGUGGCAUGUUUCAGUGACUCUGUAACCCUGAAAUGAUAAAGGUUUUUAACUGACUGACCUGAGAUCUUUUGAUACACUGGAGAGUAUCAGAGGGAUACUCUGUGAUGGCCUUUUCCACCUCUGCAGCACUUUAAACUUCCUUCUUCUGUUUGUUUUGCUUGAUGAUUUAGUUUUAUACCAAAUCACCAUUUUGCGACAUUAAGCAAGUUGCGAGGAAAAAUGUACUUUGACAGGGAGCAAUCUUCAUCCAGGCUCAUGGUUAACAGCCAUCUGCUGUGACGGUGUUGAGUUUACAAAGACAGACAGAGUUGGAUAGAGACAAAGAAACAAUUACAGAUAAAAUAAACUUAUAUUGUAGCUCCAGUGUCAAUGAAAAUGUUGAACUUAAUAUCAGUGGAAAGAGCGAAGUAUAAGAAUUACUGGUCAAUUAAUAUGAAGAGUCAAAAAGAGGAUGAAAUAGGGAGGACUGAAAAUGCUAAUAGAAGCAGUUGUUUUUCAGCAGCUCUGAGAUACCGUAAAUCCUCAAUUAAUGACUGGUAUUUAAUCUGCAGCCGGAAUUCUAAUGAUAACAGAAAUUACAAGCUUGAUGAGUGAUGAAACACCAGCAUUCAAUUAUCAACCGGGACAGAAUUAUACUUCUGCUAUAGAAUAGGGAAAAAUAAGAGACAACUUAACACCUCACAUGACAUCUCUGUGGAGUUUAUUACUUUUUCAGUCUUAUCAUCGUGACUGAGUUAACCGCUGUCAACAUCUUCACAUCCACUCAGAGAUGCGCCCUGAAUGACAGCAUUAUGAUAUAUUUUUACAGUACAUGAUAAACUGAAUGAAUACGAAGAGUCUUUAUUAUUUUAAUAUGGAGUUCAUUCAUGACAGAUGUGACUAAUUUCACCACAUAAUAGCACCAUAACCAGGCUAACCUGACAGAAUCAUCUGAAAGAGACAAUAAAUGAGACACCAUUGUGGAAUUCCAACCAAGCCUCUUCCGUUUUUUUGGACUGAACACACGUGGACCAUCAACCAGAUUUAAAGGUCCCAUGUUUUACUCCUUUCCACCAGAUUUACAUAGGUCUCAGAGGUCACAGAAAGGUCAUUUGGAAGUUUGUUGUCUAAAAACCCAGUUUUUUCCUAGCCUGAAAACUCUCUCAAGUCAGCUCUACCAAGAACACGCUGUUUCUAUGUGCUGCGCUUGUCCACGCCUACUUCAGUGCAAGCCACGCCCCUCCCUGGGCAGAACCAGUGUUUGUCCAUUGUGUUUUUUUAAGGUAGUUGUGACAAAGCUCAGGGAAGUUUAGACCCUGGCACACCUUAAACCUCUGCUUUCAUCUCCUGGCUGCCUACCAGUGACAGUGCUGUGCUGCUUCGUUCUCCAGCAGCACUGAUCUCAUACCAGCUUGCCCAGUGAUGCCAGCCGAUUAUAACGGGGCGUGAAACUGCUCAUUACAUCUCUGUGUGGUUUUUAAAGACUUAUAUCAAAUACUAAAUGAUUUUUAUGCACCAAAAUAUAACGACAGCUGUUGUCAAUGUAGUUAAGUGUGAUGAUGUGAGCACUUUCCAGUUGGUCAUGGCAGAUACUUUGCUAAUAACUCAGUUCUAUGUGAAAAUCUUAGCUGUAAAAAUGAAGUUUUUAAUACCUCUAAUGCCAAGUAUUUGCUCAGUAAUAUUACAAAGAGCGUAGGAGGAGGCUCUGUACUCCCAGGUGUUUUGGGGACAGGAGUUGCGUCACAGUUUCAUUUCAGUUUUUUUGCUUCUUUUCACAGCCUCUGACUUUUAAAAUUGAUCCUGGCUGAGUGAGGAGCCGGUCCCAGGUGCUUUAUAUUCAAUAACUUUAUCCUCACUUGCUCGGAAAGAACCUAAGGUGAGGAGAUGGGGAAGUUGGAGCGUCUCCACACUAGCGUUUGAGAAGUGGAAAGAAUGGUUUGGAAUUUCUGAAGAGCUGGUAGCAGAGCCAUCCAUCUUUCAUAGAGGUGAUGGAUUCAGCCAAAGGGAAAGUGUUGAAAGGUCUGGAGAAAGUCUAUAUAGUGGAUGUUUCAGCCCUGUGUGACAGGCUGCAUUUUCUGCCAUACUGGGCUUCCUGUGCCACAAUCUAAGUCACAAAACAUGAAGUAAACCGAAGUGACUCAGUUUAACCAACAGCAUUAAGUUUGGCUGAGGGACCACAAAGAGUAAAGUUACAGAACAUCACUUCAAAUGAGACCCUUUGUUUAGAUAUGUUCAGGUAGAAUAUGAACUUUUAACUCAACAAUGAAACAUAAUGGGGCAAUAUGUUCUAUGUAUUAGACAGAAGUAUCUAUAAUGAACAUACACUUAAAGAGCCAUGUUUCCAGAGUUUUAUUGCACUUUUACAGAAGUGUGGAUUUGUGGAUGAACAGACAAGUAAAUCUAAUGAUUUUUGUCCUUAUGCUGCUGAAUUGUCUUGCUCUUUUUCAGCAUCACUUGGGCUGAUUUUCUUAUUACGUAAUGCAUUUCUUUUUCAAAAUCUGAUCAUCUGUAUCAUUUGAUUACAAUUCUGUUGUACUCUCUUCACUUACUGUCAUCCACAGUCCCAAUACAACCACACAAAAUACUGGUACAGCUCAUAUUAAAGGAGAUAAGCGCUUCAAGAGUCCUUGAGUCAGGGAGUCAAACAUUACAAGCUUUAGAGCUCUUCUACAACUUUUGUUUCUGGGGUUUUGUGUCAAAAGCAGCUACCCUGCAUGGAUCAAUGAGGGUCAUUUGGAGCGGAGUUAGUCCCAUUAAAAGUGCAGGUAUGAAUGGGAGUCUUAGUCUUAUCAGCGGAGGCGCUAUUAAGAUGAGUGCCGCCUCGAUCCCUCUUCAUGCCUCCGUGCUGCAGGGCUUUAAAUAUCCGCUGGGUUAAUGAGGUGUUCGCUGUGUGUGGGCGCUUACAUUUACUCUCCAAUAAAGUCCUGCCAGGGACAACAUCACUCCCCAUUUCUUAUAAUGGCAUUUUAAUAGAUACUCAUUUACAAACAUCGCUGCAGCAUCAAUGCAAGGGAUGGUGGCAGGUGCGGGGCAAACACAACUGUUUGAGUGGUGGUGGGAGUACAGAUAAAGGUCAGCAACACAAGGGAAAUGAUGACAGUAGGAGGUCACACGGGGAACCCAUUGACAUUUUAAAACAGGAGGAAAAAAAAGACUCAGACAGAGUGUUGUCUGAUAUGAUUAAACCAGAUUCUGCAGCUUCACACCCUUGCUGCAUUCACAUUGAUCAGGAUCAGGAGAAAAGUCACCUUCUAUCUCAGACAUAGAUCUCAAACCUCAGUCUAAUUUUGGGCGUUUCGCAGGCCUUAAAGGCAUAUUCCAGUAUAAAAUUAAGUAGGGGUCAAACACACCUUAACACAGAAUUAGAAACCCCCUAGAGAGAUGAAUGUUGCCAAUUGUGUGCUCAGAACAGCACCUAACUUCAUCAACUGUACAUAUAGGGUCCCGGCCAUAGUACUAGCCAUCAAACAUCUUUUUAGCUUUGCCUGAUUUCUUUAGCAAAGAGACCAAACACAACUCACCCACUCUCCUCCAGCAGCCGCUUGUUUGCGUGGGAGCUCUGACGAGUUGAUCAUCGAGUGCAGCGGAGUUUCGCAGCUCUAGAAAGAACAUUUAUGGUUAUUACUUCAUGGAAAUGCGAUCAGACUGAGAAGCUAAGGCAGAAGAACUACAGCGUAUGCAGUACACAUACAAGAUACACAAGAACUCUGAUUGCAUUUCCAUGAGGAAAUAAUCUCAAAUGUUCUUCCUUUAGCUGCGAAACUCAGAAUAUACCUUGGAAUAUGCCUUUAAAAAGACUAAAGAUUGGCUUCUGAAAGUGUGAAAUCUUGCUACGCAUACAUUUCUAUUUUUCCUGCAUGUGUCAGAUAAAUACAUUCAGGGUGGGUGGAUGAAUACCAAUUGUGACAUACAGACAGGAAAUCAUCAGAAAUCUGCAGUUGUCUCAUUUAUGAUUAGGCAGAAGCUGUAUACAAUAAUUAAGUUACAACCUAAAUGAUUUACCUUGGAAAAAUAGAUGAAUUACUUUCUCUCUGAUUUGAUCUGAGAACAAAGAUAAUAUAAACAUCUUUAUGCUGCUGCGCUUAAUUUCCUCCCCAUCAAUCAAUCCUACUUAGACUUUAGGUACUGUUCUGAAUAUACAGAUUGAAGACACACAAAAAAAUGGUUUUGAAAGGAGACUCAUAAACCACUACAUCCAUUAUACUCCCAGUGUGUCCCUCAAUUUCCACCCACUGAUUGACUGUGCAGAGAACCAGGCUGAAUACUUGAAUUUAUUUCAAUUUGUAUGAAAACGCUCUCAAUGACUACUUGAAGGAAAUAUGAAAAUUGAGAAUAUUUUUCUGUUGAAACUCAAUACAGAGAAAGCAACAAAUCGAAAAUGAAGAACUUGGAAAAGAAUGACAAAUGCAAGUGUUUAGUAUGAGCCAGACACUCUGUUUUGUUGACAGUCCAGUUUGGUCUGCAUUGAGCAGUGGUGCAAUCCAACAAACUCUUGGAAAUGAAAAUCCAGUCUCUUUUCCUCUCUUUAAACUCCCCACAUGCAGGAUUGUUGUUCAUUUUUAUGUGUUUUUUAAUGGCCCUGAGACAUCUUAAAAGACUUAAGGCCAGAGCGUCAGUUCCUGCUUCAUGUUUACAAAAUUUGGAUAUUGUCAGUUAUAACGCGUCCAGGUUAGAGCCAGAUGAGUCUGGUUUCCUUCACCAACACUUUGUCACUGUACGUCACUAAAAAAUAUUAGAUGUUUUUUGAUUCAAACAACUGUUUUGUUCUAGGUGAGAAAAUCAGUUUUGCAGCCUGCAGAUAAAAGAAAAAAUCAAACACAGUAAACAAAGUAAACAACAUCAUUCAGACAUGUGAGUGUCAACAGUUUUGGUCAGAGAAGUUCAGGGGGUGAAGUAUUUUGCAAUGUAUUCAUUUUGAUGAUAUUAAGAUCAGGGAAUUUGUAAAUCAGAAGCAUGGCUGACUUGAAAGGCAGGCACACUGUGGUGCUUUGCAAAGCGAGUAAAGGCCCGUCUCUGAUAGGAUAACAAAAGUUCUGUUGAGUCAGUAUUCCCAUUAUGUCCUCUGCCGACAAAAGGCUUCAGAAAUCUACUGAAAUGAGUGACGUCUCCGAGAAUCAGCCAUGUAUUACGUAGUCCAUGGAACAGGAUUGUAUGUCAGUUACUGCUAUUUACAUACAGCAGCCUGAUGGCAGAAAGAACAGGAAUUAUCAUUUAUCUUUCUUCGGGGGGCAAGAUGUAACUGUGGGGAUGAAUUAAAAGAAAGAAAAUGAUAAUUCCUUAAGCUGUCUGGACCACCUGAUUUUUUCAGGUCAAGUAUAGCUGAAUUAUAAAUGUUUUGAAGCAGAUAUGAAUGAUGUUGAGACCACAGAAAGCACUUCUACAAUAUAUAUAUGAUUAGUUAAGCUGUUUUUAUUACAUCCCGUCAUGUUUCGUAUUCGUAUCUCGUGAUUCCUGUUUUAUGUUGAUACACACCCCUAUCUUUUAUGUCUGGUUUAUAGACCUUAAUGAUGAAUAUGCAAUAUUCAUGCAAGCCAAUACACAAAGUCCCCAUCGGUUCUAUCAAAUCCUGUUCAAACAGCUUGGGACUCAGCAUUUCAACCAAGACCAUUGUGACAUGUAAACUGAGGAAGCUCCCAUUAGAACUACCAACCAUCCAGAUGAGAGAGGGCUGACUGUAGGGCUGACUGUACCACUGAGGCACAGCUGCUCUGGAGUUUGUCCAAGCACAACAUCAAUUAAAGCUGAGUUUUUUGGUUGUUGUUUUUCCAGAUAAAACAAAGUAAAAAAAUCACAGAGCCCUGCUUUUUAUUCUCCAUAUUAACUUCUCUUAGUUUCGUUCUGAUUAGUGGAUCUUAUCACCCCGUACUCUUGAGAUAAGAGUGUCCAUUAAGAAUUGUAGACAGAAUUCCCCAGAGCUGACCAGUGAAAACAAUUAAUCUCACAGGCAUUUUUUUUUUGUCGCAGCUGGUUCUAACUAUGGGGGUCAUUCACAGGUCAGGAUCUGCUCAGCCCCUCCAAUACCUCAUCUAUGGAGCUCAAACUGUCUCUGUUCAGAAGAGUUUUCAGUGGAGUUUUUAGGCCUGUACAUGAUUUCUUACACACAGUGAUAAAUGGAUGAACUCUUGAGCUUGGGUUGUCAAAUCUAACAAGUUUAUACACGCAACUCUUCUCCAGACUUUGACGUUUGAGUUUUAAACAUAAAUGGGUUAUGUGACUCACUUCCUUUAUUUGCAAAGCUGCAGCCGAUAAACCAGUGCAACCAAUACACAGGUAGAAAAUAUCCCUGAGGUGGGGAUCAGCUCCUGGUGCUCGUUCACUGAGAGAAAAUACACUGUUGACUAAAAUUUCUAACAUGGCAGAAAUUCAUCAAACUGGUUGAGAGGAGCCGAUCAGGUUGUUACUCAACUCAAAAAUUUGCUUGACCAUACACUGUUCAAUAUUUACUGCUUUUUACUAUAUGACUAUACACUGAAGAUGGCCCAUCUUUAUAGAAAACAAGCUGCAUCUCUGCCAAGAAGUCAGGAAAGUUUGGUGGAGUUUGCAGUUAUUUGUGUUUCCAUUGUCAAAAGUUGGGAAAAGUAAGUUAGUAUUUGAUCUGUACUGCCUUUCUUUGUAGCACCCAUCUGUUGGAGUCCCAGGCCUUCAAAUCUGACCCUAAACUGCAGCGAUUGUGCUUCUGUCAAACUCUCCAAUCCCGAUUUCAUUUGGUGAGUAAACUUCUGAGCCGCAUUGGAUUAAAACUCUUCAGUCUUUUGUACAUUUUUAUUCAUCAGAAAAUGCCUUUGUGUGUUAUACAGCAGUUUGGAUUUCAAACAGGUUCUUAAUUCAGUCAGAGACACCAGCUGGAGAGAGGCACAGUGAUGGAUACAAAGGGAAAGAUAAAAAAGAGAAAUAUUUCCCAUAUUCUGAAGCAAUUUAAUAAUUAAUAUAAUUUACCUGCAGCCAAUUUGACAAAUGACAACUUUUUUUUAACCACAUGCUUAAGAACUUUGCAAGAUACUUCUUUCACCAACUUCAGAAUAAAAUCACAACAGUCGUACGACGCCACAGUAAAAAUUGUUGAGGACCAAUAUAGGUCAGGGAUUUCGUUUUUUUUUUUUUUUUUUUACAUAGAAUCUUUGUAUCUAAUCUGUAACAUAUGACCUUAAUGCAGGUGCCUCUCUAAAAGUUUCAACAAUAUGUCAUAAUCAGUCUCUCGUGCCUCUAAGGAUCUGAAGGUAAUAGAUCCUCAACGGGAAGUCUUUUCAGUUUCAAAAAACCCUUGGGUAAACUUAAAGGGGUAAAGCCGACGGCAUGAGCUCCACUGAGUUAUAUCUAUUAUGUUGAAAGCAUGUGUGACCUUUCUCCCAUCAGAGUUUGACUUUUCCCGUCAUGGGCAUGAAUGUUCGAAAUAAAAUAAAUCAUGGCUGCGCUCUGCUCUGUGCUCCAGUUCCAGGUCUCUUGUGUAUGAACACAUGCAAAGAGCUGUCAUCGCAAAACUGAUGAAUACAUAUCCUUAAAUUCUUAAUCUAGUUUCAUUAUUGAAUUAUUAGUGUGGAUAAAAUCUUUAACAUGGCAGCUUCUCCAGUUUCAGGCAGAGUUUUCGGUUUUGGAAAAGAGAAAACCAUCAGUAGCCGCUUUUAAAUCCUCAAAUAAAUAAUGUAGAAAAAUUCAGCACAGUGUUGGACCAUACACCACCAUGAAUAAUAUAUAACAUGUAUAAUGUAUUCUAUGUUAAAUAUCUUUCUAUGUAGGGGUUGUUUUUCUGUGUCAUAUAAAGAUGUGGGGCACAAACAUGCAGUGUGAAGCGAGAAACUAGGUAUUCAUAAAUAUGUAUAAGUGAGCAUGGUUUAUUUGUUGCAGUAUCCUGCAGAGUUUUGACAUGAGCACAAAAGGGGUCAGAGCUGCUUCUGCAGUAUCAAAACAACAUGUAAAUUUUACACUGACAGGUGACUCUGAAGUUUUUAUAAGAAGUAGUACAGCUGGUGUUUUCAGCUCCAAAAAUACUGAAAUGUUACUGGAGAUCAGCUGUGCAGUCUGCUUUCUGUAAUAGCAGUCAUAAGCCAGCCUUUGUAAUGGUUUUUCUCUGAACACUAUUUCUCAGAUUUUCCCCUCUGGUUGUUUGUCAAAGCCUUGAAAAAUAACAAUCUCUGGAGUUUUGAACUCAAAGUUUUUACUUUUUCUCUACAACUGAGUGAAUUUUUAAAAAUAUCUUUAUCAUUCAAUUUUAAUUUUGCCAUAACUGCUUCAGCUAGAUUGUUUCUGGUAUUUCACUCAGUGUUAGUUUUGCAGGAUUUCCAGUUAUCAGUCAUCAAUUAAUGUUACUGAGACAUGCUUGAUCCUGAAGGGACCUGGCUUAAGCACUUUUGCACCGUCUUGUGUACAACCAGAGUGGAUUGCAAUUAAAAUAGUUUAUUCUGCUAAUUUCCAAAUUGCCACAAAUAAAAUAAUGUCAAUAAAAUGAAAGCAAACAAACAAACAUAAAACUCUUUUAGCUCUUGUCCAGCAGUCAAAACCUUUGUCUCCUCUGGGAUCACACACCUUAAACUUCACACAAUGUAUGUUUGAGCUGUAGAUGUACAGCGACACCCAGAGUCGACACAGAAACACUGCAGUGAAAUGAAUCAAAUACAAACCCUUGUUUUACAUAGUAAAAAUGUUAUAAUGCUAAAUACCUCUAAAUAUUCAUUUGCUGUCUGUCAGAAGAAAAACAUGGCUUACAUCUCGGCCUGCCAAAUGAUUGACUGUAUAAAGUGUGAUUAAUUGCAGAAAUGUGAUUGAUUGCAUCUGUAAUU